UUACUCCUUCGCUGAAUCUACAGCAGUUGCGGGAUAGCUGUCCAAUGCAUUGAAGACAUGACUAGUGUCUUGUCAAGCAAAAGGUAUCAUACUCCAGAACAUGGGUCCCGCAUCCACAUCUUGCAGCACACUUGUUUGCCACAUAGAUUCUGGAGCAUAUUGUAUCACUGCAAUUUCAUGGCAACCAUGAGUUGCCCAUAAGCUGAGCUGUUCUAUAAUAAGGAGAGUACACAUAAUUUCCUAGUAAAGAGUUAGUCCUUGUCCAGCAUGAUGGCAAUGCUAGCCAAGGUUCUCAAAGUAACAGCAUAGAAGAUCAGAAUUUUGAAGCUUAGGAUGCUUCCUUUUGUUGUUUUGCAUCUACGGCAUAUCUUGAAAGUAACAUUUUACAGAGAUAUUUCAAAUUUUUUAAUAACCUAGCACACAUGUGUAUGCCUGCAUGUAUGCAACGUGUUCCCUUGUAUGUCAAUGUUCAAGUUACUCAUAUCCCUUGAUUUCAGUGAAAGAGCUCAUAUGCAAAAUCUCAUUUUGUUAGCAGGUGUGCAAAAAGGGCAUCCUAGUGCAUGAGUUCCAACCACUGCAAGGUUCGGAGAGGGUCAAAUGUACACCCUUGCAUAUGGGGAGACUGUUUUCAUGCUUCCAACCUAUGACACCC
rnacentral:lncRNA from 1 species